GAUGUCAGUAUGCUGGGUUGCAUUCAACAACAGAGCUAAGAAGACAUAGUCUGAGAUAAAGAUGCAACUACAGCUCCAUUUUCAAGUUGGAAAGUGAAUACAUUAUUUGAAAUCUAGAGCUGAAGAUACGCACAAGACAAGGAAGGAGGUGUUUGUUGCAGCAGAUUCUGCAGAGUUAAUACAGGGAUUUUCAGGCUAAAAAUCUGGAGGUCACACAAAUUGAUGGUGAAGUGACACUCCAAUGCAGUGACAGACUGAGAGAGAAAAUGAAGACCUGCUCUAUUUACAAAGAACUAUUGAAGGCACAAAGAAGUGUGGACUCCUGGCCCUAUGGAAAGGCGGCAUGGCGAAAGGAGUGCGACAUAUUAUGCUGACAAAGGCUGAAGCCUCAUUUCUGCUCCUGCAUUUCCAUGGAUUUCAAGAACUUGUUAAGGAAGAAGAAAAUCUAAGAUGGCCGAAAGAUUUCUGCAGAUAAGGAGAAAGAUGCAGCUGCAAAGAGCAACAGAGAGACAAAAAUAUUUGCAAAUUCUUCCCCAUAACAGACUCUCAUUGCGACAUUUGAAUUAGGCGUUGACUCAUCUGUGCAAAGCCUUUUACUGCAGGUGCCAUCCAUUUCAUGAGUCUCCUCAGAGGGCGUUGGGGGGAGCUCCGCUGCAACAGGAAUGCCUCAGCCAGAUACAGCAGGAGUUUUCGGUUGAAUUGAAGACAAGCUUUUAAAGCUGAUUGGAACCAACAUGACAUCAAGUGAAGCUAAAGACGAGCUUUGCAUGACCAAAAAAUGAAAGAGGAGACAGCAGCUGACUUUUAUAUGGGAACAUCUUUUGGAUGAUACCCUUGGAUUACACCCGUGAAUGGAAAGGCAAUAGAUCCUACCCACUCCUAAACUCUCAUUCAAGGCGAAGAGGAAAUCUGUGCCAAAGAGAGUGAGCUGCACUAGGAAAAUGUUCUUUGCAGCUGUGUGCUGAAUGGAUGCGUAAAGAGAGGAUACGAUGCAGGCUCUUCCACACUUGCAGAGGCUGGGCAAAGCAAAUGUUCGCAUGCAUGUGAUGAAGCUGUAUCGCAACAGCUGCUGGUUUAAGCAGUCCUUUCUGCUCUUGCAGGUUUCACCAAGGAGGACGAUUAAUCAGAUGUGCCUUGGUCAUGUUCUAAACUGGAGAUGGACACAAAUGGAAAGCUGAGAUGCUUCUGCUGAACUAAGCUAGAUUGCAAUGUUGGGUGCUAAAUGAUGACGUGCUUCUCCCCAAAAUUCAUCAUUUCCUCUUCCUGAAGCACACAACCUCAUGCAGGUAUAGUGUCUCUCCAGUUGUAUUGUCUACCCUGCCACUGCAUUGGAGGUCCUCAGGUCCAGCAUGGCCUCUCCAGGAAGUCCAGUUCCCUGCUUUUAUUUCUGUAGCUCAUCUAGCUUUAAUUAGAAGAUUAUGCAUCAUAUAUUCUUGAGGACAGGGGUGAAUGUUAGGGAUCUGUACUACCCUUCCUUUUGGUUGGACGGCCUGGAUAGCAACAGCUGCAAAGCCAGAAAAGGGAGCAUAAGCCUGCUCACAUAAACACCCAAAAGCUUCUUGAGAGGGUGUUUGCCCAGAACUGGUGGCGUAACUAAGGAAGAUGACCAUCAGCUGGGUUAAACAGUAACUGUGAAUUAUAAAGAGGCUUUGGAAAAAGGAGAAGCCAGCUUGAAAAGGAAUGAUAAUCGACAUGAAGUGUGUUUGGGGCUGGGCACCCAGGGAGGGCCAGGGGCUGACUGCAGCCCUCCCAGCUAGGGCAUGGGGGCUUGUGUGCCCACAGGUGCUCUGUCUUAGAGGUGGCAUGGGAAGGUGUGAGGGGUCUGCAAGAACAUACUAACACUUUGCAAGUGCCUAGUGUUGUGAUGAAUCUCCUCUAUCACUGGUAUUGAUCCUGAACAUACGGGUCACAGAGUAGCAGUUAUUUAUGUGCUGUCAAUAAAUCAAUAAACCAUUUGAUCUUGAUUUGAUUUAAACCACCUGAACUGAGGAGAUUUCCCUGUAACAAUUGUGUAUUUCAGUGGGAUGUUUGGGUCUUUGGUAACUUUUGCUCCCAUGUACAAGAGAUUUCUUUUUCUUUCCCUGUACCUUUCACCGCUGCCCCUGCCCCUGAUUUCUGUAUUUCACAAAGAUGUCUGAAAAUUAACUUGUAGAGUCUUAGUGGAGCCAGGAGGGUUUCUUUUCAUUUUCCCCAUACUAUCAUUCUGUGAGUGAAUUAGAUGCAUAGAGAAGAAAUGGACAAACGGCCUUCUGUCGUGGUUUAAGUACUGCACCAACUACUAAGAAGGAGAAAAAAGACUGCUACAGGUGAACCCAGGACACCU